GAAGCAAGCGAGCAGCGGGACUGGCCUCCAAGAGCAUGUAGACAAGGCGAACGUGAAAACAGUUACAGAGACAUAAAAAUUGAAAAUGUUACUAGCAAAUAAUGUUUUGUUUUCUAAAAAGAUUAUCAAAGGCCACUUUAAUACUGGCCUUUUGUUUCAGUAUCUUCAGAAAAUUUUUUUAAGUACUAGAAAUGUUUUAGUAAAAAACUAAACUGAAACAUUGAACAGUGAAUCCUUCAAAGAACAAUGUAAGGACAUUAGGUUUCAGUUACAUUACUUUUUUUCUCUCGUUUGGCUGCAGAUGACUACAGUAGUGGCACCCUGCCUAAACCAGUACUUUUGAGAGUUUUCAAAGCUGGUAAAGCUCAAAAAAAAAACAACCCUAAAUGUCCUUUACCCAAGAAAAAUGCGCAGACUAUCUCAUAUAUCAAUUUUUUUGAUGUUGGGGCUAUGUGUGUGAAAUUUUGCUAUGAGAGAUUCUGUUUCUAGUUAUGAGUAAAUGGGAAAAUUAGUAUUUUCAAUAAUGUGAUUUCUUAAACUUUGAAAAGCCAUUUGUGAAAACAGUAUUCAGAAGUUUCUUAUAAAAAGUUGGAAACCUGUUCUAAGAACAAAAAUUCUGUUAUUGUUAUUCUUCUGGAGGAAAGGCAUGAUCUUUAUAAAGAUCUCAUUAGUUGACUAAUUUAUGAAAAUCAGAAGGAAGGAGUUGAAGGAAGCUUUCUUCGAUUCUGAAAAAAACUUGUAAUAGUUGGCUAAUUGCAACCCAGAAAAUUGCAGAUUAAUCAAUACCUUCAAAAAUGAGUGACCAUAACUUUUGUUUCUUUCUUGCAGUUUAUUUAUGUGAAUCAGUCCUUUGCCCCCUCCCCAGAUCAGGAAGUUGGAACCCUCUAUGAGUGUUUUGGCAGUGAUGGUAAACUGGUCCUACAUUACUGCAAAUCUCAGGCAUGGGGAUGAACUACAGAGAAAAAGAUCUUGCUACUUAAAUGAAUCUUCACAAAGGAAACGGCCCUGAGAAGUUUUGAUACUUGUGGCAAGAGACUUGUGGAUAUGAUCUGCUCAGCAUUUAUCUAUGGUCCAUGUUUAUGCAUAAAAAAA